UUCACAUUAUUUUUCAUAUGAUCAAGACGUAUGAGGCCUCCCUCAACAGUCCCCCCUGGUCCCGUGGUAGUAAGUACCCCCCCAGCAGCCACCGGCCCCCUGCACUCCCGAGUCCCCUCCCUGUCUCCGGAGUCGCCUGUCCUGGGCGUUUCCUGUCCGUGGAGCCCACGCCGGGUCGCCUGUGUCUGGUGUCCUGUGUGUCUGUCAGGCUUCCCCCUCCUUCAGCCUUUCUGGACAGACCUCCCCAGCGCGCUGGACCCGGCCGUGGCCUCCGCUUCUGGUGGUGCCACCCCGAGCCGCCCGGGGCACCUCCACGCCGGCUCUCCUGGUGGGCACGGCGGGCGGUGCAGGGUUAUCACAGGCCCGGCCCCCUGCCGCCCCCAGCGCCCUGCGCUCUCCCGGCGCCCCGCAGGCUCGCGCUGCGCCCCGGCUCCACCCGGCCCGGGAGGCUGCCGCGGGGCCCGCAGCCCAGACGGGCCGCCGCAGACGAGGAUGUUUCAUCUUUCCAGCCGGGCGUCUGGUGCUGGCGGCUGUCACGCUGGCCUCCGCUCUGCUGAGAGCGGAUCUUGAGUUCCACACCCCUUGGUAGGGUGAGUCCCUAGUCCCCAAGGGGAGGGUUAUUGGGAGGGGAUCCUGAGGGGGUAAACUGAGGCACAGAGAGGGCUUUGUGGGUGGGGUGGUUUCAUUACAUUCCAGGCCCUGGAACCUGGGUCACUUCAGGGCACUUGCUUUACUCGGGCCUGCCUGAAUUCCAGAUGGGGAAACUGAGGCUCAGGGGUCGCUUCUCAGGCCCGGUCUGCUGACAGGAGCCACGUGGUGGCCAGCACAGGCUCUGACCCUCCGCUCUGACCCAUACCCUGAGCGGCUUCCUGCACUGUCAUCCAUUCUCCGCUCAUUGUGCAAGUAUUUGUGAGAUUCUUACCUCUGCCGUAACCGAUUGCCACUGGUUGCUUCUCUUUAACAGUCUGGAAACCAGAUGCCCAAAAUCAGCCUUCCAGGCCUAAAAUCCAAGGUACAGGGGCAGGGCUGCUCCUCCAGAAGCUCUGGGGAGAAACCGGGUCCCUACUCCAGCUCCUAGAGGCACCAGCAGCCCUCGGCUUGCAGCCCCCUCCUCCAUGUGCAGGGCCUGCAGAACGGCCUCUCAUCCUCCCGCCCCUGCUCGGCGAGACUUGGGGGGCCCUGACACCGAGUUCCCUGUGUACUCUGGGACAGUCUUAUCCCAGGACUAUUAAUUCCCUGUGCUAAGUCUGUGGAACUCUGCCAGGCCGAACGGACUUGACAGGGACAUCUCUGAGGCCGUUGUUUGGCCUCCGACGACAUCACUUCUUACCAGACUUUGCUGGGCCCGGGACUGUGGGGGUCCCUCAAGCACAAAGCCAUCAUUGGUAUCGAUCAUGUGGUCCCAGUGCUAAGUGCUUAUAAAUGGGAUUGCCACAUGCAACACAAGAUUCUGGAUUAAAUUCGAGUUUUAGAUAAACCGCUAAUAAUUUUAGCAUGCCUAGGUGUCAUGUGAUGUUUAGAGCAUAUUCAUAAUAAAAACGUUCUAGUUCG
ensembl:lincRNA